GCCGGGCGCGGUGGCUCACGCCUGUAAUCCCAGCACUUUGGGAGGCUGAGGCAGGUGGAUCAUUUGAGGUCAGGAGUUCGAGACUAGCCUGACCAACAUGGUGAAACCCUGUCUCCA
rnacentral:SRP_RNA from 1 species